rnacentral:rRNA from 1 species
CACAGCCUUAAACUUUGCAAGUCGAGCGGUAGAGAGAAGCUUGCUUUCUCUUGAGAGCGGCGGACGGGUGAGUAUUGCCUAGGAAUCUGCCUGGUAGUGGGGGAUAACGUUCGGAAACGGCCGCUAAUACCGCAUACGUCCUACGGGAGAAAGCAGGGGACCUUCGGGCCUUGCGCUAUCAGAUGAGCCUAGGUCGGAUUAG